CAGAGGUUCACGCAGGUCAGAUGUUUUGAUUUCUUUGUUUUGAACCUAACCUAAUAUACAGGUUGUGUAGGUUGGGUGGUCUUGAUGAGUUAACGUAAAGGCAGACGGGGAGAUCUUGAAUUUUCUCUAACAGGCCGGGUGCCUAUCAUGAUUGGCAGUUAGCGUCAGGGCAGAUAGAGCUGACAACCUGCUGUAAAAUAAUUUAUGUCAUUAUUUCAUAACGCAUUUAAAGUUGUUUAAAAAAUUGCGAAAUUGAAAGCUGUGAUUUUUUUUUUUUUAUCGAACUGAAACCUGAAGAGACCUCAAAAAGCACUAAUCGCUCAGCACUAGUGUGGGUGACCUUGAGACUGUGUGCGCGUUGUUAGUGCGGGUGAGAAGGCACUCGCUGUCUCACACUGAACCGACAAGAAAGCGGCUCUCUACACACUCAUGUGUCAAACUUGUGUUCAGGGGUAUUAUCAGGGGUACUGCGGGAGCAGACGUGACAGGACACCCCCACCCCCCUCUUAGGGCACCACCCGGCCUCCCACCUGGGCGAACCAGCCGAGACAUGGGCGCUGGGCAAGCCGGUUGGGGCGUGGAAGCGUGGAAGGAGCGUGAUGAGGGAUGGGAAGCCGCGGAGCCUACCAAGGCAAGGAAACCUCUCGAGCCAGCCAGAGCGUGGAAGCCCGACAGGCUGGCUAGGCACCCCCGGUUCCAUCGGUGGCGACCCAGAGCCGAUGUCACCACUAACCGGAACGCCAGUACUCCCCGAUGCUUCGUAUGUUGGCUUCUGCAUUCUGUCACAUGGAAUGACGCUGGAGAGACGAAGCAGGCAAGUGUUUCCAGGCAUUGGUUCAUGUGAGAGUGCCAGCAGCUCCAUCAGACACAGUCACAGCAAGAUAGCCGAGUCACACGUUAUUUACACCAUUGUACCCCAGAACUCUGUAUUAAAACAUUUACUUCUACCGGA